rnacentral:lncRNA from 1 species
AAAUUUCUUACAACUUGUGUCAGUGGGUUACCUUUGUGGAUUACAGGUUCUUGAGCAAGAGCCUGGAUUAACUGUGUGGAGGAAGCAUGCUUACCAGCUCCCAAAAAGGAACAGUCCUUCCUUCUUACUAAAAGAUUUUAUCUCCUGCUGAAAUGGCAGCUGAACAGUGGAAUAACUGAAAUACUGGCAAAAGACUAGUGUUUGGGUCUGUUGUGCUGUGACAGGGAAAAGCAGCUCUCUGUGGCCUCCAUGGCUGAUCGGUAGCUAAAGUGAAAGAGCAGAGCAACACUUACUUCAAUAAGCAAGUAUUCAAUCAUAGUAAGUUCAA